GACGAACGCUGGCGGCGUGCUUAACACAUGCAAGUCGAACGGGCCUGUCUUCUUUUUUGGGGGUGGGUUGAGUGGCGAACGGGUGAGUAUCACGUGAGUAACCUGCCCUUCGGUCCUGGAUAACCGCUUGAAAGGGCGGCUAAUACGGGGUGGUCCGGUUGGUCCGCAUGGGCUGGUCGGGAUAGAUUCACUGUUUUUGGUGUUUCGGCGGGGGAUGGGCUCGCGGCCUAUCAGCUUGUUGGUGGGGUGAUGGCCUACCAAGGCGGUGACGGGUAGCCGGCCUGAGAGGGUGGGCGGCCAAACUGGGACUGAGAUACGGCCCAGACUCCUGCGGGAGGCAGCAGUGGGGGGUAUUGCACAAUGGGCGGAAGCCUGAUGCAGCGACGUCGCGUGAGGGAUGGAGGCCUUCGGGUUGUGAACCUCUGUUUCCGGUGGUGAAGGCCCUGUCCGUGUGGUGGGGUUGACGGUAGCCGGGGAUGAAGCGCCGGCUAACUACGUG
rnacentral:rRNA from 1 species